rnacentral:lncRNA from 1 species
ACUCGCUCUUUGUUUUGCUCACUCCAGCUCUUUCUUUUCCCCCUUGGCUCUGAUAGUUGCCAUUCCCAUCGUUCACAAGAACUCCUGAAGCGUAGCCGCGCAACAGGAAUGGCACGCCUCGUUCCCUUCUCCCUCCUCCCCCGAAUCCUUGCACCCCAACGCUCGCGGGGGUGGUGGGAGACUCGCUCAGCGCCAGCGGCAGCUGCGAGCAAACCCCAAUCUCUCACCCCCGCGCUGCUCGCCGCUUUGUUCGGAGAUACUCACUGCCCCGCAGCUGCUGCAUACAAAGUGGAGUCAAGGGACCUCCCCUGCCCCCAACGCCCUCUACUCAGCACUUUGCUUGCAGUUAGGAGCUCGUCCUCUACCCCACCACAAGGCUGCCCCGGUGUCCCUAGCCUUUGGAGAGUUGGACCAGUCUGCAGGGGCUGUUCCCGGAGCGACUGGCCGAGAUUUCUCGCUGCUCCUUCUCUGCUCAAAACCUUAACCCUGGACUGGACAGCCCUGUUUUUCCCCAGCGUCUGGUGGUGGCUCUGGGCUUUUGCAAGUUACAGUGGGUCUUUUGAUCUUAAGCGUCACCUUCCCAGUAAACGGAACAAAAAGUUACAGACAGCAGCAAAGCGGGGAGAGGGGAGCUAAGGAGAGAAAGUGGAAGGCACUUCUGCCUGCUUGCAGCUCAGAAAUUUAGGGGCAGGAGCGAUUCCCAUUCGAGGAGUUUGACCUCUCAUUUUAAUACAACACCCGCCUCUUAGAGGCAGCAGACCAGUCCAGCCAGGUCAAGGUGUGGACCGCACAACGGGGUGCACAGGAUUAGUUAAGCAAAGCAGGAACCCAGCUGGAAAAUUAAACGAGCCCUGGAUCUGCAAAGCAGGUCCCUUCGCGAGACCAAAGCCGUGAUCCCAACCUUAGCAACAUAAUUCUACUGGAGGUGUUGAUAUAUAUACUAAUCCAGAACAACCAUGUAGCAAGAGGAAUAAAAUGAAGUUCAGAAGUCUGUUUCGGGAAAUUUUGAAGCCCUUUAGAAAGAAAGAUUUCUACAUUUUGUUACAUGAAAUUCAUGCAAAUAUAUGUCAGGUGCCAGUGCUAUGGAGUUGUUGAAGAAUAAGCACAAUACCAUUUAUUACCACUUCUCAGUUGUAAAGAGGCUGUAACUCUGGUUGUCGAAAUAAAAUAAAAUGAAAUCUCCUAGAUGUGACACUGUGACCCCUGCCAGUUAUUUACAAACAAGUUAUCUGCACAUUUUGGGCUGUAAACAUAAAAGUAAACUCUCUGAAAGACUGCAAAUCAUCUUUAGGGUUUUCUUAAAGUAAAUACAACUAGUGGCCCAGGAACCAAAAGUUUGCUUGUUUCCAGUUAAUGUCACUGGUCACCAUAACUCACCCUUUUUCCUAUGAGGAAAUGUACAGCAUAUUUUAAAGAAAUGCAGUAUUGUUAUCUUCGUCAUAUUACCUGAAGAAUUCUAAUAAAGGAAAAAUGUUUCGGAAGA